AUUUCUUUUCACUAUAAAUAUAUAGAAGCAUGUAUUAGUUUCUAAACAACUUAAGAAUAAGGCUUCAUUUACACCCAAAAGGCUUGAAGGAUGAAGCUUGUGAUGUUUAUAUCGUUCUUGCUCGUGCUUUCAUUGUGCUCUUCAGGAUUGAAGGAGGGUGACGAAGUUGCUGAGAACAAGGUUGAAGAGCUGUAUGGUCAUAAAAUGAUGGAUUAUCCAGGACCACACCCAGACCCAAGAGAUAACCCUCACCUCCGCCUCCACCUACGGACGAAGAAAACAUUAUGGAAAAUUCUGUAAACUGAGUAAACGACCGUAUUGAAAUGAAAUCUAUUAUAUCUUUGUAAACUAAAAAUGUAACUAAAAUAAAUUGCAUUUGGGAGUGCUUAUCA